rnacentral:misc_RNA from 1 species
GAUGAAGAACGCAGCGAAAUGCGAUAAGUAGUGUGAAUUGCAGAAUUCAGUGAAUCAUCGAAUCUUUGAACGCACAUUGCGCCCCUUGGUAUUCCAUGGGGCAUGCCUGUUCGAGCGUCAUUUGUACCUUCAAGCUCUGCUUGGUGUUGGGUGUUUGUCUCGCCUCUGCGUGUAGACUCGCCUCAAAACAAUUGGCAGCCGGCGUAUUGAUUUCGGAGCGCAGUACAUCUCGCGCUUUGCACUCAUAACGACGACGUCCAAAAGUACAUUUUACACUCUUGACCUCGGAUCAGGUAGGGAUACCCGCUGAACUUAAGCAUAUCAAUAAGCGGAGGA